rnacentral:lncRNA from 1 species
UCCACAGAACAGAUUACAGAACAGAACUACUAACCUGUCAGACACACAGAGACCCGACAGAAGACGCUUAAAACUAGUCUAUCACAAUCUUUGUGAAGCCUUCUUUUUCGAACAUUUAAGAUUAGAUUGGAACUGGUUUUGCUCACUUUUGACUUUAAGAUUAGAUUGGAACUGGUUUUGCUCACUUUUGACUCUUCAUUCACUACUUUCCUCCCCCAUUCUUCAAACCUUUCAACUUUC